CCUACGGGAGGCAGCAGUGAGGAAUAUUGGUCAAUGGGCGCAAGCCUGAACCAGCCAUGCCGCGUGAAGGAUGAAGGCCCUAUGGGUUGUAAACUUCUUUUGUACGGGACGAAACUUUCUUACGUGUAAGGAACUGACGGUACUGUAUGAAUAAGCAACGGCUAACUCCGUGCCAGCAGCCGCGGUAAU
rnacentral:rRNA from 1 species